rnacentral:rRNA from 1 species
GUAGGGAAUCUUGCACAAUGGACGAAAGUCUGAUGCAGCGACGCCGCGUGAGUGAUGAAGGCUUUAGGGUUGUAAAGCUCUGUUCUCAGGGAAAAACACAAUGAUGGUACCUGAGAAGAAAGGACCGGCUAACUUCGUGCCAGCAGCCGCGGUAAGACGGGGGGUCCUAGCGUUGCUCGGAAUUAUUGGGCGUAAAGCGGACGUAGGCGGCUAUGUAAGUCAGGAGUGAAAGCCCUGGGCUCAACCCAGGAAGUGCUUUUGAAACUGCAUAGCUUGAGUGUGGGGGAGGGUCGUAGAAUUCCUGGUGUAGUGGUGAAAUACGUAGAUAUCAGGAGGAACACCGGUGGCGAAGGCGGCGGCCUGGCCCAACACUGACGCUGAGGUCCGAAAGCGUGGGGAUCAAACAGGAUUAGAUACCCGAGUAGUCC